rnacentral:lncRNA from 1 species
CCCAUGGAGGUAAGCCUUGGGCUGAUCCACAUAUUUGAUUAUAUUCUAUAUUUUAUCUCUUCUUUCUUUCUGUUAUGGUGUCGACACCAUCACCGACAUUAUGAUCCUAGGUGGGGGGAUCUGUAUUCUGUGCUUGUGAGAGAUCCUUCCCUAUCAGAGCAUCAGGUUGUCUGGGUUGUGGCGUGUUGAUCAAAAUUGAAGAAGAUGGAGAUGUCAGAUUCAAUCAAGGGGGAGAUCAGUCGGU